UUAAAGUAAAUUUUCUUUCAGACUUGAAUUUGUGGUCCCGAAACCACUGUUCUGAUUUCAUUGAAAACGAGUUAUUACAUAUGGAAACUACCAAGCUGGAGUACAAUAGAGACAAAGGGAAUUUACGGUGAAGCGAUGAAAUGUGUAGGGAUCGAUAAUAACACCAAUGACGAAAGCAUUUUGCUGGGCCGACAUUGACACUGAAAGAAAAAAGUUCGGGAGUGAAUGGGAUUAGAUACCCCUGUAGUCUUAGCUGUAAAUGAUGGAUACUAAGCGCUAUGCGUAUUGACUCGUGAAAUGCUGUAGCUAACGCGUUAAGUAUCCUAACUGGGGAGUACGUUCGCAAGAAUGAAACUCAAAGGAAUUGACAGGGGCCUGCACAAGCGGUGGAGCAUGUAGUUUAAUUCGAUUCAAAUCGAAGAACCUUACCAGGGCUUGACAUGCCACGAAUCCUCUUGAAAGAGAGGGGUGCCUUAAGGAAUACAGACACAGGUGGUGCAUUGUUGUCGCCAGCUUGUGCCGUAAAGUGUUGGGUUAAGUCCCACAAUCCUCGUGUUUAGUUUCCACAGUAAGUUUGAAACCUUGAGCAAACUGUCAGUGAUAAGUCGAAGGAAGAUGAGGAUGACGUCAAGUUAGCAUGCCCCUUAUGCCUUAGGUGACACACGUGCUACAAUGGAUGGGACAAAGGGUCGCAAUCCUGCAAGGAUGAGCUAACUCCAAAAACCCGUUCGCAAUUUGGAUUGCAGGCUACAACUCACCUGCAUGAAGCCGGAAUCGCUAGUAAUCGUCUGUCAGCCAUACGACAGUGAAUUCGUUCCUGGGGCUUGUACACACCGCCUGUCACACUACGGGAACUAGUCAUGCCCAAAGUUGCUACCUUAACCACAAGGAGAAGGAUGCCGAAGGUAAGGCUAAUGACUGGAGUGAAAUCGUAACAAAGUACCCUUAUUAUAUUAUAA
rfam:Gossypium raimondii Chr06_contig_986, whole genome shotgun sequence.